rnacentral:rRNA from 1 species
GAUGAACGCUGGCGGCGUGCCUAAUACAUGCAAGUCGAGCGAACAGACGAGGAGCUUGCUCCUCUGACGUUAGCGGCGGACGGGUGAGUAACACGUGGAUAACCUACCUAUAAGACUGGGAUAACUUCGGGAAACCGGAGCUAAUACCGGAUAAUAUAUUGAACCGCAUGGUUCAAUAGUGAAAGACGGUUUUGCUGUCACUUAUAGAUGGAUCCGCGCCGCAUUAGCUAGUUGGUAAGGUAACGGCUUACCAAGGCAACGAUGCGUAGCCGACCUGAGAGGGUGAACGGCCACACUGGAACUGAGACACGGUCCAGACUCCGACGGGAGGCAGCAGUAGGGAAUCUUCCGCAAUGGGGGAAAGCCUGACGGAGCAAAGCCGCGUGAGUGAUGAAGGUCUUCGGAUCGUAAAACGCUGUUAGUAGGGAAGAACAAAUGUGUAAGUAACUAUGCACGUAUUGACGGUACCUAAUCAGAAAGCCACGGCUAACUACGUG